AUUGAACGCUGGCGGCAGGCCUAACACAUGCAAGUCGAACGGUAACAGGAAGCAGCUUGCUGCUUCGCUGACGAGUGGCGGACGGGUGAGUAAUGUCUGGGAAACUGCCUGAUGGAGGGGGAUAACUACUGGAAACGGUAGCUAAUACCGCAUAACGUCGCAAGCCCAAAGAGGGGGACCUUAUGGCCUCUUGCCAUCGGAUGUGCCCAGAUGGGAUUAGCUAGUAGGUGGGGUAACGGCUCACCUAGGCGACGAUCCCUAGCUGGUCUGAGAGGAUGACCAGCCACACUGGAACUGAGACACGGUCCAGACUCCUACGGGAGGCAGCAGUGGGGAAUAUUGCACAAUGGGCGCAAGCCUGAUGCAGCCAUGCCGCGUGUAUGAAGAAGGCCUUCGGGUUGUAAAGUACUUUCAGCGGGGAGGAAGGGAGUAAAGUUAAUACCUUUGCUCAUUGACGUUACCCGCAGAAGAAGCACCGGCUAACUCCGUG
rnacentral:rRNA from 1 species